rnacentral:misc_RNA from 1 species
GAUGAAGAACGCAGCUAAAUGCGAUAAGUAAUGUGAAUUGCAGAAUUCCGUGAAUCAUCGAAUCUUUGAACGCACAUUGCGCCCCCUGGUAUUCCGGGGGGCAUGCCUGUCCGAGCGUCAUUGCAACCUUCAAGCGCGGCUUGUGUGUUGGGUCUCGUCCCCCGUGGACGGGCCCGAAAGGCAGUGGCGGCGUCCCGACAUGGUGCCCGAGCGUAUGGGAAUCCUCUUCCGCUCGAAUCGGCCCAUGCGGCGCUGGUCGUAACCAAAUUUUUUACCGGUUGACCUCGGAUCAGGUAGGGAUACCCGCUGAACUUAAGCAUAUCAAUAAGCGGAGGA